CCUACGGGGAGCAGCAGUGGGGAAUAUUGGACAAUGGGGGGAACCCUGAUCCAGCCAUGCCGCGUGUGUGAAGAAGGCCCUCGGGUUGUAAAGCACUUUCAGUGAGGAAGAACGCCUGGUGGUUAAUACCCAUCAGGAAAGACAUCACUCACAGAAGAAGCACCGGCUAACUCCGUGCCAGCAGCCGCGGUAAUACGGAGGGUGCGAGCGUUAAUCGGAAUUACUGGGCGUAAAGCGCGCGUAGGUGGCUUGAUAAGCCGGUUGUGAAAGCCCCGGGCUCAACCUGGGAACGGCAUCCGGAACUGUCAAGCUAGAGUGCAGGAGAGGAAGGUAGAAUUCCCGGUGUAGCGGUGAAAUGCGUAGAGAUCGGGAGGAAUAACAGUGGCGAAGGCGGCCUUCUGGACUGACACUGACACUGAGGUGCGAAAGCGUGGGUAGCAAACAGGAUUAGAUACCCGUGUAGUC
rnacentral:rRNA from 1 species